GGAGUGGUAGUUCAGUUGGUUAGAAUACCGGCCUGUCACGCCGGGGGUCGCGGGUUCGAGUCCCGUCCACUCCA
rnacentral:tRNA from 1 species